rnacentral:rRNA from 1 species
GACGAACGCUGGCGGCGUGCUUAACACAUGCAAGUGGUGCGACGAACCAGGGCUUGCCCUGGGGCAAAGCCGCGAACGGGUGAGUAACACGUGGGUAAUCUGCCCCGAUGACCGGGACAACCCGAGGAAACUCGGGCUAAUACCGGAUGUGGUGCCCGAGCAUAAGCUCGUGUACUAAAGGAAGCUUCGGCCUCCGCAUUGGGAGGAGCCCGCGGCCCAUUAGCUUGUUGGUGGGGUCAAGGCCCACCAAGGCGACGAUGGGUAGCUGGUCUGAGAGGACGAUCAGCCACACUGGGACUGAGACACGGCCCCAGGGCUCCUACGGGAGGCAGCAGUGGGGAAUCUUGCGCAAUGCGCGAAAGCGUGACGCAGCAACGCCGCGUGGGGAAGACGGGCCUUCGGGUUGUAAA